CCCAGGCAACAAUAGUGAAUGUAAACAGCCCAAAAUGUAACCAAAAUACAAGAAUAGUGGCCCAAUUAAAAUUAUGUAAUAACAGCCCAAAAUAAAUAUGUCAGCCCAAUAAGUAACUUAAUAAAAUAUAAAGCAGCCUAGCCCAAAUUAAUAACCCAAUAAAAUAUAACACCAGCCCAAAUAAACCUGCAAAUAGUGAGCUCCGUUACCGAAGAAAAUAGUCGGAAAGAAAGAGUCCGUCGGUCGUCGCCUCCGCAAAUCCGACACAGAAGAAAUUUCCUACUUUUUGUCACUGUCCCCUAAUUACGACGUCAUCUACAUCGUCAAUUGAUGAACGACAAGCUGUGGAUUAAAAAAAAUUGACUCGACUACACCAGUUACUCGUCUCCAGAAGAAGAUACGAAACCCUCCAAUGUUCGGAGGUUGCAACACCGUUAAUCAUGGUGGGUCAGAAGGAAAAAGAAGCCAGAACACCAAAAUAAAAUUGUAAGAUUUCUGACCGGACUCUUGCAACACCCAAAAAUAUUAAGAAAAUUGCAGUAUCGUAG
rnacentral:lncRNA from 1 species